rnacentral:ncRNA from 1 species
CAAGUCGAGCGCGGGAAGCGAGCUGAUCCCUUCGGGGUGACGCUCGUGGAACGAGCGGCGGACGGGUGAGUAACACGUGGGCAACCUGCCUGUAAGAUCGGGAUAACUCCGGGAAACCGGGGCUAAUACCGGGUAAUACUUUCUUUCGCAUGAAGGAAAGUUGAAAGAUGGCUUCUCGCUAUCACUUACAGAUGGGCCCGCGGCGCAUUAGCUAGUUGGUGAGGUAACGGCUCACCAAGGCGACGAUGCGUAGCCGACCUGAGAGGGUGAUCGGCCACACUGGGACUGAGACACGGCCCAGACUCCUACGGGAGGCAGCAGUAGGGAAUCUUCCGCAAUGGACGAAAGUCUGACGGAGCAACGCCGCGUGAAC